GGUGCUGUGGCUUAGUGGGUCAAAGUGCCUAUCUAGUAAACAGGGAGAUCCUCGGUUCAAAUCCCAGCCGUGACU
rnacentral:tRNA from 1 species